rnacentral:lncRNA from 1 species
AUGGCCUUUCCCGUAGGACCUGCCCAGGGUACCUGUGCUCACAGCUCCCAUCUCACUACUGGGGAAGGAUCCGCACUAAAGUGGGUUAUUUUUUUCCCAGGUACUAUGUGCCAAUACUCAGAAAAACGCAAUUUCUGUGUCGGUAACCGUCCCCGAGGUUGGCCCCGCUCUGGCUGGUUUGCGCGUCAGGAUUUGCAAUGGGCCCGAAGAUGUGGGGGCCUGCCGCCUCUCCUCACCAGCCUCCAGGAAGUCUUGUCCCGGGAGACCGUCCAGGUCUCCUGGGUGGCGGGGGCACCCCGGAGGCAGACGGCAGGGGUGCCUAUGGCACCACACUCUCACCUGUGCAGGUAAGGUGCACCUGACUUCCAGGUCAGGACGUCGCUUUGAGCUCCUGGUUCUGCCUGACCGAUGGGUGGGUCAGUCAUUUGGAGAAGGCGUCUUCGUUUUUUGAAGAGCGUGCUGUUUCCCACGAGUCUUGGGCAACCCAGAGCAUUGUGCAAACCGUCCCCUCUCGAAUCACAUCCCUACACAUCGCAGGUGUGGUCCUGGCCGUGGCCGGCAGGGCCCCACAGUGCUUUUGCUUCGGGACCGGGCUUGGGCAGGGCCGUGGGCAUCUGUCCCCUGGUGGCCCUUUUCCAGGGCCUCCACGGACCCAGUUCUACUUUGAGUCCUGCCCCUCCCCCACCUGACACGUGAGUAUCCUCAAGUCAGAAGCCUCCCAGCCCCCUCCUCUCAUCCCUAGAAAGCAGUGCAUGUACUUCCUUCAGGGAGACUUUGAUCUCUCUUGCUCCAAGCCCUCCCGCGCAUUGAUCUUGGCCCAGCAGCAUCCAUCAUUGUCCCCAGGGAACCCAAGCUUAGAUACAGCCAUGAACAGGGCAGCAGGGAGAACAGGAGCCGGGGGUGGGUGUGGGAGGGAGGGAAGGACAGCUGUGUCGCAGGCUCUGUUC